rnacentral:rRNA from 1 species
AACGAACGCUGGCGGCAGGCUUAACACAUGCAAGUCGAGCGCGUAGCAAUACGAGCGGCAGACGGGUGAGUAACGCGUGGGAAUCUACCUUUUGCUACGGAAUAACUCAGGGAAACUUGUGCUAAUACCGUAUGUGCCCUUUGGGGGAAAGAUUUAUCGGCAAGAGAUGAGCCCGCGUUGGAUUAGCUAGUUGGUGAGGUAAUGGCUCACCAAGGCGACGAUCCAUAGCUGGUCUGAGAGGAUGAUCAGCCACACUGGGACUGAGACACGGCCCAAACUCCUACGGGAGGCAGCAGUGGGGAAUAUUGGACAAUGGGCGCAAGCCUGAUCCAGCCAUGCCGCGUGAGUGAUGAAGGCCCUAGGGUUGUAAAGCUCUUUCACCGGUGAAGAUAAUGACGGUAACCGGAGAAGAAGCCCCGGCCAACUACGUGCCAGCAGCCGCCGUAAAAC